GAGCGGCGGACGGGUGAGUAAUGUCUGGGAAACUGCCUGAUGGAGGGGGAUAACUACUGGAAACGGUAGCUAAUACCGCAUAACGUCGCAAGACCAAAGAGGGGGACCUUCGGGCCUCUUGCCAUCAUAUGUGCCCAGAUGGGAUUAGCUAGUAUGUGGGGUAACGGCUCACCUACGCGACGAUCCCUAUCUGGUCUGAGAGGAUGACCACCCACACUGGAACUGAGACACGGUCCACACUCCUACGGGAGGCAGCAGUGGGGAAUAUUGCACAAUGGGCGCAAGCCUGAUGCACCCAUGCCGCGUGUAUGAAGAACGCCUUCGGGUUGUAAAGUACUUUCAGCGGGGAAGAAGGUGUUGAGGUUAAUAACCUCAGCAAUUG
rnacentral:rRNA from 1 species